rnacentral:misc_RNA from 1 species
UACGAAGGGGGCUAGCGUUGUUCGGAAUUACUGGGCGUAAAGCGAACGUAGGCGGCUUUUCAAGUCAGGGGUGAAAUCCCGGAGCUCAACUCCGGAACUGCCCUUGAAACUGGAUCGCUAGAAUCCUGGAGAGGCGAGUGGAAUUCCGAGUGUAGAGGUGAAAUUCGUAGAUAUUCGGAAGAACACCAGUGGCGAAGGCGACUCGCUGGACAGGUAUUGACGCUGAGGUUCGAAAGCGUGGGGAGCAAACAGG